rnacentral:rRNA from 1 species
GGGUGGUAAUGCCGGAUGCUCCAGUUGAUCGCAUGGUCUUCUGGGAAAGCUUUCGCGGUAUGGGAUGGGGUCGCGUCCUAUCAGCUUGACGGCGGGGUAACGGCCCACCGUGGCUUCGACGGGUAGCCGGCCUGAGAGGGCGACCGGCCACAUUGGGACUGAGAUACGGCCCAGACUCCUACGGGAGGCAGCAGUGGGGAAUAUUGCACAAUGGGCGCAAGCCUGAUGCAGCGACGCCGCGUGAGGGAUGGAGGCCUUCGGGUUGUAAACCUCUUUUAUCGGGGAGCAAGCGAGAGUGAGUUUACCCGUUGAAUAAGCACCGGCUAACUACGUGCCAGCAGCCGCGGUAAUACGUAGGGUGCAAGCGUUAUCCGGAAUUAUUGGGCGUAAAGGGCUCGUAGGCGGUUCGUCGCGUCCGGUGUGAAAGUCCAUCGCUUAACGGUGGAUCCGCGCCGGGUACGGGCGGGCUUGAGUGCGGUAGGGGAGACUGGAAUUCCCGGUGUAACGGUGGAAUGUGUAGAUAUCGGA